ensembl:misc_RNA Metazoa_SRP Metazoan signal recognition particle RNA
GUGGGGCAUGGUGACACAUGCUUAUAAUCCCUACUACCAGAGAGAACAACGUUGAUGAAUUGCUUGAGCUCGGAAAUUCUAAACUCUAGUAGGGUUAAGUAUAAUCAGGUGUCUGAACUAAGUCUAGCAAAAAUAUGGUAAGCUCCUAGGAGUGGGGGGCACCAGGCUGCUCAAGGAAAGGUAAACUGGCCCAAGGGUAGAAAUGCAGCAGGUCAGAAUAUCUGUGCUGUUCAGUAGUGGGAUCAUACCUGUGAGUGGCUACUCUACUUUCAGCCUUGGUGGGAUAGGGACACCCAAUCU